GUAAUUCACACAAUAGCGGAUACAUAUUGUGAUAGGAGUUCGGACAGGACACACGCGAGCGAAACGUGAGGAAAGAUGUAGAGAGAGAGAGAGAAAGAGCAAGAGAACAAAAAAACCGGUGGUGAGGUGCGGGUGCACUUUGAUAUGUACAAGAUUGAUUUAUGCAUCUUUUUUUUUUGAUUCACAUGGAAACAGGAAUGAUGAGCUAGAGAACGGAUUGUGAGUUUGUAGCAGAAAUUCUUAUGUAAGGAAAGGAUUUGAAGGAUAGUAAUUUACUAACUCUAGUAGUAGGAAACACGCUAGGAAUGACUCAAAUCUACAAUAACCGUAACCAAUUGAUUAAUAAUGUUCGAUUCUAAUGGUUAAUUUCAUCCACCAAAAAUUACCACUCAAUAGCUACACAGAACGUGAUAAACGAAGAACUAGAAAAGCUCGUACGCAAAGGAACUGUUACUCUGAACGAAUAACAAACACUUUUAAACUUGGUAGAUUCAAUCAUUUGUCUUGAUGUGUCUUUUAGAUUACUUAAAAGCUUUCAUUAUUAUUAAUGUUAUUACGACGUAGGUUACUAAACAUUUAUUGAAGCAAUUUGAGGAAUAGUAGGGAUUAUUUUUAAUUAUGGAAAAAGGCUUAGGGACUUCACAGAACGUCUGAUGGACAACACGGUACAAGCGUCACACAUUCAAAAGUGUUGGAAUUGAACGAUGUUAGGUAGGUUGCAUUGCAGUUACAGGUAAUUUUCGGAAAAAGUUUUUCGAUUAGGGAUUAGUUAAAAGUAACGCUUGCACUUUGACAUGGACAUGGACACAAAUAAAGGACAUGUAGUUUUUGGGAAAGCCGAUCGGAACAUGGAUGGUAGGAUGACAUCACUGUUGCACGCGAGUGAAGCUUCGUUUCAGCUUCUGUCCACACAUGAAUGCAUUGUUCCGCAAUUAGCCGUAUCCUUCGUCUUGCUGGUUUAUGGGCAACAUGAUCCAGCAGAGAGCUAGCAGUAGCAAUUGGUUGCGCACAUGGAAUGGUUCACAAUCACACGGGUAUACAAUGUUUGACACGGGCCGUCGUUCCACUAGUCAAUGCAACUAUUCUAAUAAUUAACAGCAGCCUCGAAUGCGUUCUACUUCUAUGCUUAAUGAAACUAGUGGGAUGGUAUGAUGACGGGACACGUUCAGCGCCUGGACAUACAGUGAUGAGUAGGUUGGUUGCGCGAUGGAUUCGAUGAGCAUUCUUUGUUUCAAUCACGAUAUGGUAAACUACUAAUACCGGAAGGAAAAUAACUCACUCACUAUUUAGUUAUAGGGCAUUCCCAAGACCAAACUUUGAAAACAAUAAUUAAAUAAAUCUAAGUAAACGUAAACAUAUUGAAUGAAUAAAAUGGCUGUACACCGAAUUAAUGAGUUUCGCUGUUCAUAAAACUAUAAUAUUUGAAGACUGAAUAAUAUCAUGAGAAAUAUUAAAUGACGCCAUGAAAACCUGCAAUUCGAAUCCUUUUAAGUCACUUACAAUCACAGAUGGUAAAUAUCAGCCGAAAAAGAGCAAUCGUGAUUACUUCACAAUAGCUGGCUGCUCUCCGGCAUCAUUUCCACUUGAUGGUUACUUGCUCGCAGCAUGUCUUGUAAUAACGGUAUCCAGGAAUGUGAUUGUGAAAAUGCGUUUGUUUACUUCAACAAUUGUGUGUAGCCAAACUUCCCCUCAUGAGAGGAAAAUGUGAUUUCGAUGGUGUAGAAAAUAAGAUCCAUCCUCAAUUUUGAACCAAAACGUAACUUGAACUUGCCAUCGGACAACUUCAAGUGAAUCAAAGUAAUAGAAUGGAUCUCAACGUUGACCUUUUAAAUCAAUUAAUAAGCCAGUUAUGUUAUCCAGUUUUUCGAAUGUUACACCACUCAGUAGUUGAGGAUAUUCUCUAACAAAAACGCAUGUAAAUAGGAGUGAAUAAAUUUUCAUAAACAAAUUAACACAAAGCAGUCAAAAAGGCAUUUGGUGCGAAUCAACAGAAAAACAGCCAUUUACGAAUGAGUCACCGUAUCAGUUUUUUUUAACAAAUCCACGAUGUCCCCAUGAUGUUCAUUGAGCCACCAUAGAUUUCGGUCACAUGUACUUCCCUAUUUUUCAUGAUCUAUUUGAUGAUGGUAUAAAAUCACUGGAGUUCUGUUAUGCCUAUUAGUUUGUUUAUGAUCUUUGAGACCACGUUGAAUAAUAAUCGAGGACCAGAAUUAAUCAAGUUGAAGCAUCAGCGUUUUUCCAAUGCAGUAUCAUGGUUCUGAUCAAUUGUUAUACCGUAUUGGGACUUUGGAGGUUUCUAUCAGCCCUCUGAUGAAGAAUAGUAAUCUCUUUUCGAAAAAUGCCAAACUAUGGCAUGAUAGAUGUUCCGAGUCGUCAAUACUUUCAAACAGCUUCAAGUGAUACCGGCUCUGAAAAAAAUCUAGAAUUUGGCGAGUAAGUACGUUUGACGAAUGAAACGCUUAGACUUGUUCACAAUUAAAGUUCAAAAUUUCAAAAUGUCCUCCAUUUUUUAAUGUUCCUAAGAUUAGAACAUGCAGAUUCACCACAAAAUGGUUCAGGACUGGAAAAACAGGAAAACUAUUGCAAAAAUACUGGUUCUCUGCUCAACUUUUACUUAGUUCCAAAUAUAAAAGCUGGUAUAGUAUUUGGGAACAGAUUAGGGACUUUUUUCUUUCUUUCGCGAACUAUCAAUGAUGAGUUCAUGACCGGGAGUCGUAAUCUAAAGUUUGGGAAGCCAUGGAUUAGAGCAUUCCGGUACAUCCUGAUCCUGAACUUUAGUUUGGAAAUGCACUUGCACAUGAGCUAUUCAUUCCUCGGCCAGUCACGCCUGCUCUAAUGUUUUUUUCUGUCAGUCAUUAUUGUUUGUGAUCAGUGAAUUGAUAUUUAUUUUGUUUAAAAUACAAAAUGUCCUUUUAGGACUCCUUCGAAAAGGUUUGAAUCUUUUUGCUCUUCAAAGCACUCUACUCUGCUUUAAAUUAAAUCAAGUGGCCAAAUGGUUGCAUGUGGAGCAAAGCCUCCAACUCGGCAUGUUUCUCAUUGCAAUUAUUGAUAAAGUUUUUUUAUUUCAACUUCUUCGGGCCAGGGUUCUUUCGUUUUCGAUCACCAUAAUAAUGCAGCGUUUGAAAGUUUCAAAUCUGCGAAUUUCAGUUAACCUCAUAGUUAUUAACUGUGGAAGGGGGAAUAGUGCCAUUUUACAUAAUGACGUUUGGCAUUAGACCAUUUGGCAUAGCGACAAUUUGGCUGUGUUAAAUACAGUUUGGAUUAACGACCAUUUGGCAUAAUGCCACACUAAAAAAAGAUUAGAUGACCCCUUCUUUAAAAAUAUGCAUUUGCUCGGAAUAAUUCGAAGCGUAUGAUUCCUCCUGGGCCCUCCUUAGCCGUGCGGUAAGACGCGCGGCUACAAAGCAAGACCAUGCUGAGGGUGGCUGGGAUCGAUUCCCGAUGCCGGUCUAGUCAUCUUUCGGAUUGGAAAUUGUCUCGACUUCCCUGGGCAUAAAAGUAUCAUCGUGCUAGCCUCAUUAUAUACGAAUGCAAAAAUGGUAACCUGGCUUAGAAACCUCGCAGUUAAUAACUGUGGAAGUGCUUAAUGAACACUAAGCUUCGAGGCGGCUCUGUCCCAGUGUGGGGAUGUAAUGUCAAUAAGAAGAAGAAGAUUAUUCCUUAUCUACAAGUACGUAAGCUCAAAUUAAAGCAAAUGAGCGAAUAAUUCAUUUUUUUUUUCAAGCACACAAUUCCCAACGCGAAAGAUUAAACAUCUCAUUCUUCAAACACAGGCAUUUUCUUGGAAGAAGAACAUUCCUCCAUUUGAAGCACGCAUUUUCCCAUUCUUCAUUUAAAUCUCGAUUUUUUUUACAUUUGGCUGAAAGAGUAAUUUACUCCUUGAAAAACACGCUUGUCCCCAGAAUAAGGCAAAAAGACUAAUGGCUCUUGUAAAGUUCGCAUUUGCCUGGAGAUUUUAUAAUUCUAUUAAUUUGUAUGCCAAAUGGUCGUCAUGACAAGUAGCCCUUAAAUCAUUGUGAUUAUUUUGGUCAAAUGGUCAUUAUGUCAAAUGGUUUUAGGCCAUUUGGGAAAGGUACCCCACUGUGGAAGUGCGACAAUGUCUCACCCGGGGGAGCGAUGGCCGUCAAGAGCGACAAGCACCAAUCCAGACCAAGAGUGAAACUCAUCGUUAAAGAUUUGUCGGCAGGAUUCAUUGAAGAUUCCAGUAUCUGAAUAACUUCUUUCUCGUGACGAUAAUUUGAAUAACAUGAGAUUUAGUCCGUAAUCAGAGCUCAACCAAUGCCGUUGAUAAACUGUACGGUUAUUCAUUUCACCGAUAAGUGAACCCAGAGUGUAAACCCGGUCAUAUCGCCCGACUCAGUACAAUAUGACCACCCUAACCCAGAAUCCCAAGGUGUCAGUCGACCCGUGCCGAGGGGAUGAAUGGCCCGGGGGUUGAAACAAUUGGCCAGGCAGUUAACGGAGACUGUAAUGCUGGGUAGACACCUUUUUGGUGGUGCAUUACGGAGUAAGAUCUACCACACUGUGCUAUAGUCCUUACUUUUCGUGUUAAUACUUAUGAGUGAUGGUCGGAAGAGUAUGGAAUGACUAUAAUUUGCUUAUAGAUGUCCCAUCUUUUACACUUUUUGGAUGGAGUCAAUGGAGUAAAUUAUAAAAAAGUAACUCAAUCAUUUAGACUGGUUUCGAAGCCGACGACAUGAAUGUCCAAGCUCCAGAGCGUUGAUUUAUUAGAAAAGAAGCGGAUACGAAUUUGGUGGAUCUGCUAAACCCUCUGGUUGAUUAGAGCUCUGUGUAAAGGUAAGAUUCCGAAAUGCCAAACGCAAUAAAAUCAGAUCUCUAUGCAAAAAAGAAGUCGGAACUCACUUCCGAAGUGAUUAGAAAAAUGCAUUGCUCCAAAACGAAUCUUACAAAUGGAGUACACUGGAUUUUGUUUUUACACGAUUUACAUUUUCUCAAAUUUCCACUCAUCCUAAAUGCUUAACGCAUAUUAAUUGUCAUGUGAUUUUUCUUCGAUUUAUUCUGGAUUUUUUGAAACAUGUUGGGAAGAGUUUGGUGGUAAAUUGAAGUCACACGAUUAAAAAUACGAGCGAAAAAAAAUCGUGUAAAAACAAAAUCCUGUGUAUUUGGAAAGAUGUUCUGGAUUAUCCAAAAAUCUAUAUGUUAGCCGUCUCAGGAGAAUGAACAACAGCUGUGAAUGCAUAGUCAGGUCGCUAUCUAUCGAUGAGUAAAAAGCGCUUCACAAAUCGCAUUUUUAAAAGAGUUGAAUCAAAUUUAUGCUAUAUCACUGGACAAAAUCCAGUAAAUAUUUCCAUGGAUUACGUACUAUUGUUAAGGUUAUUACCAAGAUUUUCAGUAAGCUUUGUUGAUCUCAGUUUUGGUUAUCAGUUCAAAAUAAAUUCAUUUAUAAAAACUUUGUUAGUAAUAAUGACUAAUGAUUAGGAUCCAAAACGAAUUGUCACACUUUAGAAGUUAGAAAACAACACUAAUUAAGUGUACAGCACUCAACCUAGAUUAUAUACUAAACAACAGUUUUAUCUUCAAACAGAAAACGUCAAAUCCAUAAACACAUCAAACUUUGUACAAACGUUUCCGUCGAAGUUUUGAUUGGAAUGCCGUCGUGGUGCCGCAAGAAUUUUGUGCAUGAUAUAUCGGUAACAGACAUCAAUCUCCCGUAAAAAUUCGCAAACCAAUAAAUUCCCCCUCCUUUCUUCCGCACUAAACCAUAUAGAAAUCUCUAAAAAUAACAAUUUCCGAACCGGACCCCAAUCAAAACCCAUUGAACGUAAUGUACAGCCAAAAGUAGGAAGCGAAAACGAAUAAGUGAAACGAAACGAAAAU